CUUGUUCCUCUCACCGUUACCUCUGGAUGCCUCGGGGCAAAGGCCUUCUUCCACCUAUAGACAGAGUCUACGCAGGGGUCUUGGAACCCGGGCACACCAGUCCCCAGCUAACGAAAUCCCCGAGUUGGGGGAUUUGAGAGGGUCACGUUUGGCCCAAGAACCCGCAGUCCUCUUUGGUCUUCGGCCCUCUAUUUCUAAGCGUGGGCUUCUGGCACGGCGGCUCUGGGCACAGCCCAUGCUGCUUUCGGGCUGGGUGGUUUCAACGACGACAACAAUUAUCACAGUGACGGUGACCUUCACCCCAACAGGACUGCUGUGUGUGAAGCACUCAAGAGGGCCCCUACAACCAACCUGCCAGGAGUCGGCUCCUGAAAACAGGGUCGGAAAAGAUCUCAGUCCUCUAUCUGUGAAACGGAAUUCGGCCUUGCCUGUCCACGAAAUGAAGACAAG
rnacentral:lncRNA from 1 species